UCUGAAAAUGCUUCCUGAGGUUUCCUAAUUUCUAAAUCAGGAAGCCACUUCUGACCAGCUACUUUUAAGUAUCUCAGACUGCUGGGGACAAUAGAAACUUAGCCACUCUAACAUGGUAGAUGGAGGCGUGAACUGUAAUAACCCUAAGAUGGUAUACAGAAUUUUUCUCCCCUAGUAGCAGUCACAUUGCAAAAAGAUUAUAUUGCUAUUGAAUUUUAAGGUGUAGAUUAAAUGUCUGUAAUAUGUGCAUAAUCUUCCAUUCCUGGGAUCUUAGUCUUGACAUUGUCUUUUUAAGCAUAGAACACCCCUCCUUUACAAAGAAGGUAAUCUGUGGAAGGAAAGACAUGCUAAUAUGAUGGUUUUACAUUAUAAUUCCCUCAGAACGGAAUAUAUCCAUUAAGUACAUGGCAUAUAUGUGGCUAUAGAAACUGCUACAUGUAUUUAAUUUAUUGCCUUUUUUUUUACCCCUCUCAGGAUAGACCAUUUAGAAACUAUCCAGCAACUCCUAACUGCAGUAGUAAAGAAGAUUCCAUUGAUCACUGCAAAAAGUAAGACAAUUACACUGAAUACAGGGGUGCAUUUUUGAAAGCUGUGAACUUAAGGUAUUGAGUCGACUGAAAUCACUUGGGAUUGUAAAUUAAUAUUGAUAUGGCGGUUACCUUAUAAGGUUUCAGCUAGAGAUACAGCCCAUUUGCAAGGGUUUUAGAAUUCACAUCCAGUUAGUUUUUUAUUCUUUUUACAGUGUUGAUCUGUAGAAGGAAUGUUUUACAUUUUUCAUAUGUAAAUCAUAGAUUGUUUUGUAUGCAGUUAAAACUCUGCAUUAGCAUUUGGUGUUUAUGAGUGAGGAAAGCAUUUAGCGUUUGCCUGCAGUGUACCAGGUCCUGUGCAGGCUGGGUGCGUUCACUGUCUCAUAUAAUCCCAGCCUCCUGUGUGAUAGCUGGUGUCACCUCCACUUACAGAUGAGGAAACUGAGGAUAAGCAGGGUUGAAUAACUUGCUCGAGAUCACAGAGCCACGGGUGGUGAAACAGGAUACAAACCUGGUUCUGUUUGACUCUAAGACCAUUCAUCUUUCCUCUGAAACUCAGUAUUGCACAGUAUAGAAAUGCAGUUUUUAAGACCUCCCAAAGUGACGUGCUGCGUCACUGCCCAUCGUUAGCUAGAUUGAGUAAAUUGCUGCUUAGCCCCAGUUGUUUUGACAGAAUCAGUAGCCCUUGCUGAGGGGCCAGCAGCCUACGGACACAGGAGCAUGCUCAUGGGCAAGACCACCGUGCACACUCAGAGGGAAGCCACAAGGCAACCUCCACGCCACUCAGAUUUGUAGGGCUCUGAACACAUACACCAUGUACAGACCACCUACUUAUUUUUUCCAACUGUAAUAGCAAAGCAGUAAUCUCUUUCUGUAAGGUAAAGUUUGGGGGAUCAUUUUGAUGUCUCUCAGAGUAAACUUUUGGUGACAGUUUCCCAGCCUAACAUAAGAAAUUCAAACAAAAAAAUCUCUCUCAUAUAUAUAUGUGUGUGUGUGUAUACAUGUAUAUAUAUAUAUACACAUGUAUAUAUACAUGUGUAUAUAUAUAUACACAUAUAUAUAUACAUGUGUAUAUAUAUACACGUAUAUAUACACACACACAUAUUUUUCUCCUUAAAAAUACAGAAUGUAAGAGCUGGAAGGUAGUUCAGAAACCAUCUUCCCAGCUUUCUCAGUUUAUAGAUGAGAAAACCGAGCUGGGCUUGGUGGCUCACGCCUGUAAUCCCAGCACUUUGGGAGGUUGAGGCGGGCGGAUCACCUGAGGUCAGGACUUUGAGACCUGCCUGGUCAACAUGGUGAAACCCCAUCUCUACUAAAAAUACAAAAAUUAGCAAGGCAUGGUGGUGCCUGCCUGUAGUCCCAGCUCCUCGGGAGGCUGAGGCAGGAGAAUCGCUUGAACCUGGGAGGCAGAGGUUGCAGUGAGCUGAGAUCACACCACCACACUCCAGCCUGGGCGACAAAGUGAGACACCAUCUACCACAACCACCUUGUGAGUUAAUGGCAGGUCCAGGGCUCCUAGUGGAGCACCAGUUCCACAGACUUUAAUAGCCUAUGGCAGUGAUUACCUUCUCUACCAAAGAAGCAAAGUUCCCAGGAAGGUGUGUUGCUUUGAGUACACACAACAAGACGCCUUCUCUUCUGAGGAGACGCCCUCCUGUGUUAGGCUGCAUCUGAGCUUGCCCAGUAAGGAACAUACAUGCGAUAAAGAGGUCUGAAGAAGUGACUGGCUUGCCUCCAGCAAAUGACAUGUGGUUGGAAUCGUAAGAGCUUUAUUCAGGCUUUGCUGGGUGUGUGCAUUCUAGGUGAAGAUGCCAGCUGCUUUUCUGCAAAGUCUGUGGAGCAGUACUAUGGCUGGAACAUUGGAAAAAGGAGAGCCGCUGAGGUAACCCACGUCUGCCUGUUCACUCUGGCUGCCUCCAGAAACCUUGUCUUAUGGAACAGGGAUAAGAUUGCAGCAUAUUUGGUUGAAAUAUUUGAUGGCAGAAUAUUUUCCUCAGUUAAAAAAAAUCUCAUUUUUCAAAGACCUGUAUCCAGCUGACUUUCAAGCGUGCCUUCUUUUUCUGCACUGGCAGAAACAUCCCUCACAGUUUCUAAAUUUUUUUCUGAGUUUCAGAGUUUUAAAUGAACUCGAGUAUUGAGUCCUUACAGUGGGAAGGUGCUGUGGUGAGUUUAGGGAAAGCUGGGGUAGGAGGGGAGUGGGAGAGCGCAGGUGGAGACCAGGUGAAGAUCCUUAAAGGCCAAACCUAGGAGUUGCUGUUUUUUUGUAUUAGCAUUAGGGAAGUUCGACUUUUUUUUUUUAAUGGGGAGUAACACAACCAGGUUUUUUUUCUUUAAAAAAAAAAAUUCUAACAGGUUAGGUUAGGAUGGUGAUUUAUGGUUGCAUGAUACGUAGUUGUGUUAAGUGGAAGGAUUUGAUUAUGGUUCCAAAAGAAAAAUUUUUUUUUAAGUGGCAAAGAGCAAUGACAAUGCGAAAAGUCUUACAAGAAAUCCUGGAGAAGAAUCCGAGAUUUCACCACCUGACUCCCCUCAAAACCAAGCACAUCGCUCACUGGUGCCGCUGUCAUGGCUACACCCCACCGGACCCUGAGAGCCUGAGGAAUGACGGGGACUCCAUCGAGGACGUGCUGACCCAGAUCGACAGCGAGCCCGAGUGCCCGUCAUCAUUCUCCUCUGCUGACAACCUCUGCCGCAAACUGGAGGACCUGCAACAGUUCCAGAAAAGGGAACCCGAGAAUGAGGAGGAGGUGGACAUCCUCAGCCUCUCCGAGCCAGUGAAGAUAAACAUCAAGAAGGAGCAGGAAGAGAAACAAGAGGAAGUCAAGUUCUACCUGCCACCAACCCCAGGGUCUGAAUUUAUUGGGGAUGUCACACAGAAGAUUGGGAUCACCCUGCAGCCCGUGGCACUCCACAGGAACGUGUAUGCGUCCGUGGUGGAGGACAUGAUCCUGAAGGCUACAGAACAGCUGGUGAAUGAUAUCCUGAGACAGGCUUUGGCAGUUGGAUACCAGACAGCUUCUCACAACAGGAUUCCCAAAGAAAUUACAGUGAGUAAUAUUCACCAGGCCAUUUGCAACAUUCCUUUUCUGGACUUCCUCACAAACAAACACAUGGGAAUAUUGAAUGAGGACCAGUGAGCGGAGUGAGGUGCCCUGGAGAAGCAGGCUUUGAAGGCGCAGCGAAGCUGUAACUGAGGACCCUGCUGCUCGGGAAGGAGGUGGUUUCCAGUGUGACUCGGCAUGUCAUGGCUACCCAACCUUUGCCGCUGCCUGUUCCCGCGUGUCACCAGCACGCUCCACUCCAGUUGAAAUCCUCCUAGGACAGGAGUUUGUUUCCUGAGUGUGGAGUGAGGCUGUCAGUGGAUCCGUGCUUUGUCGGCCAGCGUUUCUGCAGUCUUUGUAAAGGCCCCACGAGAGCGGGCCAGACCGUGUGCCUCAGGCCCUUCUCCCUGGGUGUGCUUAAGGGGGCUCCUUGGGCCCGCCUCCCCAGGAGGUAGAAAAUGAGUGGCAAGCUAGAGAUUUCACCCAUUUUGUGGGCUGGAGUUACCAGUAGCUCCAGCAGUUACCCUGAAGAGAGAUUGGGCUUCAGCCUUCAGCAGGUGGUUCUCUCCCAUGCCUGGCCUUGGUGUGGAGGGGCUGUACUCUGAGCCCAAGUGAGUCAGCUAUAGGAAGAGGCCAUAUCUAGAGCCAAGAACCAUGAAGGCCUGAGAGACGGCAGACUGAGCAGAAUUCCUUUUUUGAGCACGAGAGCAUUACUAGAACCAUUGUCAAAGCAGUGGCAAGGGACGGAGAGGUCCCAACAGGAGUCAGGAAGAGGUUUGAUUAUAACCAAGAAAACUCACUAUGCUAGGAAUAGACAGUGUGCACCAGUCCCAGACACUUGGCAGAAGUGUAGCAGCGUUACACGUGUGCGAAGCAGAUCGCAGGUUCCACGCCAUCUGCAUGGCCUGCAGGAGCUUCUGCUGCUGACCCCAUGCUAAGUGGCCAGUGGGGAGCAGCGCCCGGCAGGCUCUUCUGGGGUCGUCUGUCCUAUCUGUGGAUUGUGUAUACUCUUCUCUGUUAAGGAGUUUUUCCCAAGAAGAAAAGUAUUUAAAAGAAAUACCAGUGAGUGCCUUAAAGUUGGAGAAGUAACUGCCCAUGCCCAGAAAUAAGGAUGCCAGUGCCCAGAAGCAGUGAGAUUAGGCUGUGUCCACAAGCAGAGGCCCCCUCGAUGGGAGGGAGAAGCAGAAGACCCCUCGAUGGGAGGGAGUGGCAGGCAGGAGAAGGUGGCGCUGCCAGGUGCCCAGGUCUAUUGGAGGCGCCCCAUCUCAGACUUCCUAACACAGCCUGUGUGGAAGGCAGAACAAAGAAUGCAUGCCCAGUCAGAAAUCUGUUCUAUUCUGCUCCAAGAAAAUCGGAAACCUGUGAGUCAGAGUCAGAGAAACUUACCCAAGCAACGUAAUUCCUGUUUUCGUGGGUCCUGUAGAUGUUUGAGUCAGGAAGGUAAGGCAGGGAGUGACUGAAUAAACUCUGCCUUUUAAAUUGAGCAUCUGGGCCGGGCAUGGUGGCUCACGCCUGUAAUCCCAGCACUCUGGGAGGUCGAGGUGGGUGGGUCACCUGAGGUUGGGAGUUCGAGACCAGCCCGACCAACAUGGUGAAACCCCGUCUCUACUAAAAAUACAGAAAAUUAGCUGGGCAUGGUGGUGUGUGCCUGUAAUUCCAGCUACUCGGGAGGCUGAGGCAGGAGAAUCACUUGAACCCAGGAGGUGGAGGUUGCAGUGAGCCAAGAUCAUACCACUGCACUCCAGCCCUGGUGACAGAGGAGACCCCGUCUCAAAAAUUGAUUGAUUAAUUCAGCAUCUGAGGGCUGCAAGUACAGAAGGAAUCUAUUCUCAGCAGGGCAUAGGGCACGCACUGGCUUAACAGUUUAGUAUAUAAGGCUCGAAUAGUCUAUACGUGAACUGCUAUAAGCAAGGUCGAUAGGGAAGUGGAUAGAUUGCUUCAGCAAAGUGAACUGUGAGAUCUCCAGGACAGAGGGAGACCUGAUCCAAAUGAGAACAGAUUCGUUAUUGCAGGUAUCACAGCCUAAAGAAAUUAUCUUUUUGCAAAAGAAAUAUUAAAUGAUUUAGCAGUCUCCACGUGUGUUAAUGUUUCAAACGUGUAUCAUAAUGUGUAUAAUUGUGUAACAAAAUUGUCUACAAUAAAUCUUUUGGUAUUUGU
rnacentral:sRNA from 1 species